AGGGCGGGGUCUUUCUUUUUUUGUACCUCUGUCUGUGUCCACUUGGGGACAGACUGCUGUCCCUGAGCUUGUCUAGGCUGAGUUUCACCCGCUAGGUGACCUUGACAAGUCCGUGAAAGCUUUCAGAGCCUUAGUUUCUUUACUUCGAAGGACGGUGGUUGUCGCCUUACUUUUUUCCUACCCUUUUAGCUCCCCACAUAGCCAGGCAUAGAGGCUCAUGACCAGCAGAUCUGGCCCAUGAAGAUCUGGUGAUGAAAACCCAUGUAUUACCCAUGUACCACAUACUUACCGGGGCCAGGGGACUGGCGAGAAGGCCUUCUGAAGAGUCUACUUGAAGAAGAACAGGAACCACAGAGGCAAAGGAAUGGGGCCAUCCAGAGAUUCCAGUGCAAACAGCCUGUGUGGGUAGUAGAGGCACACAGCAAGCUGACUGCCAGCCUAGACGUGGAACAGAGCGGAAACACAGGCCAUCCCGCAGUGGAAACUGGAGCCAGGGAAACCAUGAAAAUGACGAGGCUGUGAAAGGACAGCAUGAUUCAGAGCUCGAAAACAAAUGAGCCAACGAGAGGGAAACUGCACAUUGGGAGAAUGGGGAAAUCAUUUGAAAUAAAAAGGAAAAUAAUUUUAGAUGAAUAAAAUAAAAAGAGAACUAAAGGGACACAAAAAAAUAAAAAAAAACAUUACAUUGUCCUUUGAGAUAAACAAAGCAAAAAAAUAAACAA